ensembl:lncRNA
CUUUGUAAAAGUCAUUGACAUUGAGAGUGGUAACAUACAUAAAUGAUUGCACAGUUCCUCCUACUGUAUAAGAACUGCUAGUCCACAAGGCAGACAUAAUGUUUGGGUCUGGCUCAUGGACUAGAACAUCGGGUCUGCCUCGUGGACUAGCAGUUCUUAAAGGAGGGACCGUGCAAUAAUUUGUGUAUAUCAAAUACCACUGACCCCUACUGGUCUUAGACCAAAUUUAACCAUCACUAGCUGGCCUGUUAGAAUGACACAUUCUCAGUGGUGGCUGUAUCGUGAGAAUAUAUUUUUCCCUUUAGAAUUUUUGUAAUAGAAUUAUAUCUGGUGUCUUUUAAUUUUUAUGAAAUAAGGGUAGUUUCAAAAGUAAGUGUAGUAAUUUUCACAGCCUGUCAUCAUUUCAAAAUGUAGAUUUUGAAACCACAAAGCGCAAGGUGUGUGAUAUGAGAACGUAUACCAUGGGUAUGACAUCUUAUCACUUUUUACGGCUCUAAUUGCGUUGGUUACCAGUUAAUAAGAGCAAUAAGUAAUCUGGGGGGGGGGGUUUGAUAUAUCGCAAAUAUACCACAGCUAAGCACUGUGUCUAGGCAUUCUGUGAUGCUUUGAGCAUAAGAACAACUCUUAGACGCGGUAUACUGGCGAUAUACCACACCCCUAGAAACCCUAUUGGUUACAUACAGCAUUCCUAUCAGCCAAUCACCAUUCAGGAUUCAAACCACCCGGUCGAUAAUACUUAAUAAACACUGAAAGUGCAUCUGUGCUAAAGCUGUUUGAAGGGAGUUGCGACUGGUAUUGAGUAAAAUCAUGUUUGUUUCCAUUUUCAACCAUGUGUAGAAUGAGUAUGAUUUGAGUAUGUGUUUUGUGUAAUCACAUGAUAUUUGUAAAUCAAGAAAAGCUUAGUGUGCUUAUUGUCAUGACAGACAGUUGGAAUUAGCUAAACUGUGUUAUGUGUUCUGCUGUUGUUAUAAUUACCAACCACGUAUUUAACUGUUUAUUUCCUUUCAAUACAAUGUAUCCUGUUAUGUUAUUGUGACAGAAACAUAACGAAUAUGAUUGCAAUUCUUUCACUGGUAGUCUACUCUUUAUUCCAACUCAACACAAUAGACUCAAGAGGCUUUAACUUUGAUUUGUGCCACAAUUAUGACUGAUACUGUAUAAGAAAUAAAAUACUUCUCUAUUCGCAUUGCACACCUACCAUGAGUCUAUUCAGGUCAUUCUGUACAUAACAAAGUUAAGACAAUGUGAUAUAAUGUAAUAUGUGUAUUUUAUUUUACUUUAAAUGUAUCGUAAUGAAGUUAGUCGUAUAUUGCUGUAUUUAAAGACCAAAAGGAAGUUAACAUGUUACAGACAACUAUUAUUAAUAUAUUUUUAUUAGGGUCAACUGAAUAACAAUUAUGCACCAUUAGCCUUAUCAAAUAUUCUUUGCUCCUCUGUAUGAAGGAUUAUGCAUUAUAUUGUCGUAUGACUGCAAAACUGAACUUUUUGAUAAACCUUUUGGUAAAUAUUAAUCUCUUCAGGAUAAUCAGAACAGAAUACAAAUGCGAAAUAGGUGUAAAUAAAAGCAGAUAUUCAGGCUCUGUUACAUCAGAAGAACUUUCAAUAAAUGUUCCUAUUU